rnacentral:rRNA from 1 species
UUUGAUUAUGGCUCAGAUUGAACGCUGGCGGGAUGCUUUACACAUGCAAGUCGAACGGCGGCACGGACUUCGGUCUGGUGGCAGUGGCGAACGGGUGAGUAAUGUAUCGAACGUGCCUAGUGGCAGGAUAUGCAUGGCGUAGCUAAUACCAUCAUGUCAGAAAGCAGGGGACCUUCGGGCCUCGCACUAGUGAAACGACCGAUAUCGGAUUCAGCUAGUUAUUGGGGUAACGGCUCACCAAGGCGACGAUCCGUAGCUGGUUUGAGAGGACGACCAGCCACACUGGGACUGAGACGGCCCAGACUCCUACAGGAGGCAGCAGUGGGGAAUUUGGACAAUGGAAACCUAGUCCAGCCAUCCCGCGUGUACGAUGAGCCUUCGGGUUGUAAAGCACUUUUGGCAGGAAAGAAACAGCACGGGAUAAUACCCCGUGCAACUGACAGUAGAAUAAGCACCGGCUAACUACGUGCCAGCAGCCGCGGUAAUACGUAGGGUGCAAGCGUUAAUCAAGUUACUGGGCGUAAAGCGUGCGCAGGCGGUUCGGAAAAGAAAGAUGUGAAAUCCCAGAGCUUAACUUUGGAACUGCAUUUUAACUACCGAGCUAGAGUGUGUCAGAGGGAGGUGGAAUUCCGCGUGUAGCAGUGAAAUGCGUAGAUAUGCGGAGGAACACCGAUGGCGAAGGCAACCUCCUGGGAUAACACUGACGCUCAUGCGAAAGCGUGGGAGCAAACAGGAUUAGAUACCCUGGUAGUCCGCCUAAACGAUGUCAACAACUUCUGCAGGGCCUUCGGGCCUUGGUGGCGCAGCUAACGCGUGAAGUUGACCGCCUGGGGAUGGUCGCAAGAUUAAACUCAAAGGUGGCGGACCCGCACAAGCAGGUGGAUGAUGUGGAUUAAUUCGAUGCAACACCCAAAGAAAAGUGCCUACCCUUGACAUGUCUGGAAUCCCGAAGAGAUUUGGGAGUGCUCGCAAGAGAACCGGAACACAGGUGCUGCAUGGCUGUCGUCAGCUCGUGUCGUGAGAUGUUGGGUUAAGUCCCGCAACGAGCGCAACCCUUGUCAUUAGUUGCUACGAAAAGGGCACUCUAAUGAGACUGCCGGUGAUAAACCGGAGGAAGGUGGGGAUGACGUCAAGUCUCAUGGCCCCAUGGGUAGGGCUUCACACGUCAUACAAUGGUCGGGACAGAGGGUCGUAACCCGCGAGGGGGGAGCCAAUCCCAGAAACCCGAUCGCCGAGUCCGGAUCGCAGUCUGCAACUCGACUGCGUGAAGUCGAAUCUCGCUAGUAAUCGCGGAUCAGCAUGUCGCGGUGAAUACGUUCCCGGGUCUUGUACACACCGCCCGUCACACCAUGGGAGUGGGUUUUACCAGAAGCCAGUUAGCCUAACCGUAAGGAGGGCGAUUACACGGUAGGAUUCAUGACUGUAACAAGGUA